rnacentral:rRNA from 1 species
GAUGAACGCUGGCGGCGUGCUUAACACAUGCAAGUCGAACGGAAAGGCCCAAGCUUGCUUGGGUCCUCGAGUGGCGAACGGGUGAGUAACACGUGGGUGAUCUGCCCUGCACUUCGGGAUAAGCCUGGGAAACUGGGUCUAAUACCGGAUAGGACCACGCCUUGGAUGUUGUGGUGGAAAGUUUUUUCGGUGUGGGAUGAGCUCGCGGCCUAUCAGCUUGUUGGUGGGGUAAUGGCCUACCAAGGCGUCGACGGGUAGCCGGCCUGAGAGGGUGUACGGCCACAUUGGGAAUGAGAUACGGCCCAGACUCCUACGGGAGGCAGCAGUGGGGAAUAUUGCACAAUGGGCGCAAGCCUGAUGCAGCGACGCCGCGUGGGGGAUGACGGCCUUCGGGUUGUAAACUCCUUUCGCUAGGGACGAAGCGUUUUUGUGACGGUACCUGGAGAAGAAGCACCGGCUAACUACGUG